GAUGAACGCUGGCGGCGUGCUUAACACAUGCAAGUCGAACGGAAAGGCCCAAGCUUGCUUGGGUUCUCGAGUGGCGAAGGGGUGAGUAACACGUGGGUGAUCUGCUCUGCACUUCGGGAUAAGCCUGGGAAACUGGGCUUACUAUCGUAUAGGACCACACCUUGGAGUGUGUGCAGGAAAGUUUUUCGGUGUGGGAUGAGCUCGCGGCCUAUCAGCUUGUUGGUGGGGGGAUGGGCUACCAAGGAGUCGGCCGGCGGCCGGUCUGUGAAGGUGUACGGCCACACUGAGACUUAGGUGAGGCCCAGGCGGCGACGGGAGGCAGAAGGGGGGAAUCUUGAUCAAUGGGCGCCGGCCGGAUGCAGAGACGCCGCGUGUGGGAUAACGGCCUUCGGGUUGUAAAAUCCUUUCGCUAGGGACGAAGCGUUAUGUGACGGUACCUGGAGAAGAAGCACCGGCUAACUACGUG
rnacentral:rRNA from 1 species